rnacentral:rRNA from 1 species
AAUCAACGCUGGCGGCGCGCUUAACACAUGCAAGUCGCACGAGAAAGUGGAGCAAUCCAUGAGUAAAGUGGCGUACGGGUGAGUAACACGUGGAUCAUCUACCUUCUAGUGGGGAAUACCCCCGGGAAACUGGGGACAAUACCGCAUAAGCUCGAAAGAGGAAAGCCGAAAGGCGCUGGAAGAGGAGUCCGCGGCUGAUUAGCUAGUUGGCGGGGUAAUGGCCCACCAAGGCGAAGAUCGGUAGCCGGCCUGAGAGGGCACACGGCCACA